AGCAACAAUGCAUGUUUUCCGGUCCCCAUCUUUUUUAUUCAAAAAGGAAAGGAAAAAGGGGAUAUAACUGAAUCAGAUGUGGAAAGAGUCCCCCUUGGAUGCACCGAGCUUGUUAAACCCGUGCAGCCAUAGCCGAUCGUCUGCACUGUGUGUGAGAGGCGCUGAGGUUGACACAAUUGAAGCCAAAUAUGAAACGCUUGCAGCAUACCCUUAUGAACUGUGCCAGCGUGCGUGUGACGUGCGUGGUGUUGUGUGAUACCCCGGGGAACUGUGAGGGGACUGUCGGGUCUACACAGCGACGUCACACAGCGACGUCGGGGCUAAACGUUUUCUAAUUUGUCUCAUGCAAUUUGAAGAGGACGAAGAGAAGCAGAGAAAACAGAGAAGAUGGUGGGUUCGUGACUGGCUUCUGCGCAGAUCAAUCCAUGGUCAGUAUGACGCCCUGAUGGAAGACUUACAACUUGAGGAUCCUGAAGCUUUCGUGAACUUUCUGCCCUUGGACAUGGCCUUAUUACAUCAUUGCAGAUGAUGCCUUUGCCAUGCAGAGUUGGCUAAUGAAACCAUUCUCUCGACAGGGACUGGCACACGAUGAGCUAGUAUUCAAUUAUCGCCUUUCAAGAGCUCGCCGUGUUGUUGAGAAUGCCUUUGGGAUACUCGCAAACAGAUUCAGGUGCCUGCUUAGCACUCUCCAGGUUCAGGUUGAUACUGCAUCUUUGAUAGUGAGAAAGGGUGUGGUGCUGCACAACUACCUGAGAGAAAGGAACCCCUCCAAUGAUGUCAUGAUCCUGGACAAGGAAGAUGUGAACCACAACUUGGUACCUGGUGCCUGGCGGGACACAGCCAACUUGAAGGACAUGAAUCACACUUAUUGGGGUUAGCGUGACACAGUAUAGCCAAGAAGCAGCGGAUUUACCUGAAACAUUACCUUUGCUCACCCGCAGGGUCGGUUCCAUGGCAGGUUACACAUCUUCACGAAUACUGAAUCAUUGUUGAACGUCGAUUUUAAGGGCAAGGUGAAAACCAUGUUUUACUCUUUUAAGUUAAUGCAUUUGUACCAGCUUUCAUUAAAAUAUCAGACCUGUG